rnacentral:rRNA from 1 species
UACGUAGGGGGCAAGCGUUGUCCGGAAUUACUGGGCGUAAAGAGCUCGUAGGUGGUUUGUCGCGUUGUUCGUGAAAACCGGGGGCUUAACCCUCGGCGUGCGGGCGAUACGGGCAGACUGGAGUACUGCAGGGGGAGACUGGAAUUCCUGGUGUAGCGGUGGAAUGCGCAGAUAUCAGGAGGAACACCGAUGGCGAAGGCAGAUCUCUGGGCCGUAACUGACGCUGAGGAGCGAAAGCAUGGGGAGCGAACAGG